rnacentral:rRNA from 1 species
GACGAACGCUGGCGGCGUGCUUAACACAUGCAAGUCGAACGGAAAGGCCCUGCUUUUGUGGGGUGCUCGAGUGGCGAAAGGGUGAGUAACACGUGAGUAACCUGCCCUUGACUUUGGGAUAACUUCAGGAAACUGGGGCUAAUACCGGAUAGGAGCUCCUGCUGCAUGGUGGGGGUUGGAAAGAUUCGGCGGUUGGGGAUGGACUCGCGGCUUAUCAGCUUGUUGGUGGGGUAGUGGCUUACCAAGGCUUUGACGGGUAGCCGGCCUGAGAGGGUGACCGGCCACAUUGGGACUGAGAUACGACCCGGACUCCUACGGGAGGCAGCAGUGGGGAAUAGUGCAUAAUGGGCGGAAGCCUGAUGCAGCAACGCCGCGUGCGGGAUGACGGCCUUCGGUUUGUAUUCCGCUGUCGCCUGUGACGAAGCGUGAGUGACGGUAAUGGGUAAAGAAGCACCGGCUAACUCCGUG